UGAGGAAUAUUGGUCAAUGGUCGGGAGACUGAACCAGCCAAGCCGCGUGAGGGAGGAAGGUACAGAGUAUCGUAAACCUCUUUUGUCAGGGAACAAAGACUGGGACGCGUCCCCGGAUGAGUGUACCUGAAGAAAAAGCAUCGGCUAACUCCGUGCCAGCAGCCGCGGUAAUACGGAGGAUGCGAGCGUUAUCCGGAUUUAUUGGGUUUAAAGGGUGCGCAGGCGGUCUGUUAAGUCAGCGGUCAAAGCCCGGGGCUCAACCCCGGCCCGCCGUUGAAACUGGCAGUCUCGAGUUGGAGAGAAGUAUGCGGAAUGCGCGGUGUAGCGGUGAAAUGCAUAGAUAUCGCGCAGAACUCCGAUUGCGAAGGCAGCAUGCCGGCUCCACACUGACGCUGAGGCACGAAAGCGUGGGUAUCGAACAGG
rnacentral:rRNA from 1 species